AACUUUUGAAGACUUCUUGGAAUAAGUCUUAGUCUCCUUGGGUUUGCAAUAGGAGCCUUCUCAGUUUGUUUUGCUGGAUGGACAUGUUCCAUCACCUCUUCGUCCUCCUCAGCCAUAGUUUCUGAACUCUCACCAACCUUCCCCUUUCCUUUCUGUAGUCUUUUCUUCUUACUUUCUUCCAGUGCCCUCUUUAACUCAGCUUCGCUCUCUCUCACUUUGCUUCUUUUUGUUCUAGCCCUAGGUGCAACCUUGGGGAUGCAGUCUUGGAUUUCUUUGAUGGUUUUGCAGCAGUAGGAGUUUUAAGGGAAGAGGACUUUCAUUUCUUGGGGUCAUAGCUAUCAUUUUUGUUCGAAGAAACCUUGGGUUUAGGGGAUUCAACAGGAGGAUUAGAGGAUGAGUUGGUGUUGGGUGACACUGGCGGUGGGGUUCCUGGAUUGUCUUGAGGAUUAGUCAAUUUGGAUGAUGAUUUGUGGAAGGUUUUAAGAAAUUUUGGAAAUUUGUUUUGGGUUUUGGAGAUGAAGGAGAUGAUCAGAGAGUUAGAAGCUAAUGACGGUUAUGAAAUGACUUAAGAGUCUUUUUAAAGAGGAGUAAUUAUUGCUUCAGAAAAAGCACCUUUUCAUGCGUCAGUAGGAGUCUUAUCAGUGUAGAGUUCUG
rnacentral:lncRNA from 1 species